AAACGUUUCCUCACUGCGAGGAUGCUUUUCUUUUGCACAGUGUCGUGGUCCCUGGUGCUUCGAUCAAAGAUCCCACUUCAAAUUUUGAUGCUGUUCCUCCUGAUUGGUUCACUGCAAAGAAGAAACAAGUGUUUAUAGAUAGUGGUAUCAAGAUCAUGUUUGUUGGGUCACCAAUUCUUGCGCAGUUAGUUGCUGAUGGGGCCAUGGAUGAAAUAAGAGAAGUGCUUGAACGUAGUGACCAAGCUUGGAACCCAGCUGAUUCAAUGGAUUCUCAUGGAAAAACGUUGCUUCAUUUAGCCAUAGCUCAAGGCCGCCCAGAUAUUGUCCAGUUACUUCUUG
rnacentral:lncRNA from 1 species